UACGAAGGGGGCUAGCGUUGCUCGGAAUCACUGGGCGUAAAGCGCACGUAGGCGGCUUUCUAAGUCGGGGGUGAAAUCCUGGAGCUCAACUCCAGAACUGCCUUUGAUACUGGAGAGCUUGAGUCCGGAAGAGGUGAGUGGAACUCCGAGUGUAGAGGUGAAAUUCGUAGAUAUUCGGAAGAACACCAGUGGCGAAGGCGGCUCACUGGUCCGGUACUGACGCUGAUGUGCGAAAGCGUGGGGAGCAAACAGG
rnacentral:rRNA from 1 species